CUGACAGGCAAUUCCUGCAAGGACAUCUCUAGUGAAAUCUGCACAGAGGAUUCCACACUGAAUGAUGCCUCCAACCACAGUCUAAAAGGAUAUAACAGGAUUUAAUUAACCAAUGAGAGCCUCUCGCCUGCUGUGGUCAGUGACCCGACCCUCAGGAUUCGAACUCGCUGUCGCUGCUAACGUAGUGGUCUGGGGUGGAGGUGCCAGUGCCCCGGGGGUCGGUGCUCGUGCUGCAGUCGCUGGCCUCUGGGCUGCCCGGGUGACGCGGAGAGGCGGCCAGCAGGCGGGGGUGGUGGGCGUGAUGCUCCUGGGCAGAACCCUCAGGGGAGCUUCCGGAAGGCAGCCCUGUCUCUCUGGCGUCGGUUCUUGAACCAGUUGCCGACCUGUGUGGGCGUGAGUCCCGUGGCCUGGGCCAGGUGCCGUUUCCUGGACGGGUUUGGGUACGGGUCCUGGAGGUACCACUCUCUGAGCAGGCUGCGAGUUCUCUCCUGUGAUACAUAAAGGACACAAUAAUGGUCAGUUUCCUGCUUCAUGUAACCAACAGUGUUGGUUCUAUCUAUCACAAUGAGAUUUGACACACACUACCAGUCCAAAGUUUUAGAACACCUCCUCAUUCAACAGUUUUUCUUUAU